UAUAUGCCAUUCCAUCCCUCCCAUGGCCAGUCAUCACGAGGCAUUUGCUAAGGAUGGCUAUAUAAAUCUUUGAAAGGAUGCUUGGACUUGGAAUCAUAGCAUAUGGCUGGAAAGGAUCUUUGGAGGUCUUAUUGUCCAACCUCCUGCCCAAGGCAGAAGUCCUUGUACUAUCCCAGACAAAAAUGUCCAAUCUUUUCUUUAAAACCCCACAACUUUGGGAGAUUUUUGGUCCUUCCUGCCAUAAGCCUUACGGCUCCAAAAAGCCAGCUGGUACUGUACCUCCCUCUCAUGAAUGAGAUGUCAUUUGCAAGAUAUAAGGGAUUUUGUGUGCUUGGGAGAGUCUUCUGAAGAACUUCAAUCAGGAUGACUAAUUAUGGGUGCAAACUGGGGAGGCGUCAUGCAAUUCUCUGCACUCUGGAAAUGAGGUGGCAUUCAAUCUAGCCCUUUUCUUGAAAAGCUUUUCUUCACCGACAAGGAAUCAGCUUGUACUGAGGAACAUUCAAUCAAGUGAAUUACCACCUGCUGACUGACACGAUAGAAGAUCCAUGACCAGAGCCAGAAAAUUUAAUAAGUAAAAAACAAACAAAAGACAUGGAUGGAUGUGGUAGAAAAAAG